rnacentral:misc_RNA from 1 species
GGCGGAGGGCCACAUCAGUCAGCGCCGUCUUCGCCUUCGCAUUAUUUUUUGUGCCGAGGCCAAUUCCCUGUGCCUCUGUCUCGCUCCUACAUACCACUCACUCCUGCCUGCCAUCACCAUGGAUGUGGAUGUGGCCUACGCCGAGUCCGUGCCGCGCUACGUCGAUCUUGCGCUGUUUCUCUGCGGUGAGGCACUGCGGCUCAUCAAGGGUGAGCUCCGUCAGCACGCAGCGGCAGCGGCACCACUCUACGCAUGGCACCUUCACAAGGUGUGCUUCCUGCACGCUCUGCCGAACGAUGGAGACGCCUGCGUCGACGGUGCCGCGGCGGAUGACGACGCCAACCCAGCAGCAGCAGCGGCGGCACGAUCAGGGUGCACAGGUCUAUCGAGUGCCGCCCCGUCGCUCGGCCAAAUAGAUGAAGAGACCACUUGGGACGUCGCACCAGCACUGUCGGCUCAGAGCUCGAAGGAGGUCAGCUUUCGGCGCGCCUAUGCCCAGCUGCGCCGCCCGUGCGGCGUCGACUCGUGGAUGGGAGCGAAGGAGAAGCCGGAUGCACAUGUUGCCCCAACUGCGGCCGGCGCCCCUACCAGAGAAGACGCUAGUCCCAGCCAAGUGGCAGGGCAGGUUCACCCGCGCUCCCCACGCGAGGGGGAGCAUAGGUGCGGCAGAGCCCACGCGCCGCAGCCGUUGCACCGCCCCAGCGCGACACCCACCGACGUGGGGUUUGCCCUGCUGUGCGACUUUCUGCGAACGGCAGCGCAAGCGGGAGGGACACCGCUUAUGCAGCGUCUCGCCGCCGUCCUGUGCAGCCUUGUCACUCGGCCAACAAAACGCGGAAGUGCCCCGGACGCGCACCUUUCGCGUAUAAGGGAACUGCCGCCAUCGCCGACGAUCACCGUCGCGCAGCUCUCGGACCUCUUCGACGAGAACCUCUUCGACGACGAGCUCAGUGCCGAGGCCGGCAACGCCACGCGCAGCUUUCACAUAUGGGUGAACUACGAGUGGGCCAGCGCAUCGUUUGCACGACAGACGCAACUGGCGGCCGCCGUGACGAAGUGGCUGGCCUCACUUCGCCACUGCCGCGACGGGUCGCCGCCGGCGUGGCUACCAGCGCUAAAGCAGCGCUCCGCCGCAUCGACGCUGCCUCGCCCGCUGGCGUCGGCGGUUCCGAUCAACGUGCGGCGGAUGCAAGCGGCACUCGAGGGUGUCUUCGAGGGUCACGCGUGCACGCGGGCUAUGCUGAUGGAGCUGUCGUUGACGCAGCGCACACCGCACCUCACCGACAAUGCGCUUGCCAAGCUGCUCGCUCUCCAAGGGCCGCCGACGUCAUCAAUGAUGGCGCGAUCUGAGCUCAGCAAUCGCGGCACGCAGCCCAUCCUCAUGUGCAUCACCAGCGGCAUGCUUCUCUACGCACAAUACUACCUUUCCUUUCGCUCUCUGGAAGUCGCGCGACAGUGCGCGCGCGUCGCACUGCAGGUCGCCCAAGAAGUGCAGUCUAACGCCAUUCUCGCCCUGGCCCACUACACCGCACACGUCGUCGCGACACAUCAGGGAAGGCCUGCCGACGCCGCGAACAGCAUUUCGAUUGCCCUCCAGCUGACGUUGCCUAACGGGUCCAGCCGCGGCAGUGGGCAGAAAGGCGGCCCCGCAGACGAGUCGCUCUCGUCGCUGGCACCGACGCUUUCGGGCAUGGAUGCCCAAAUGGCUAGCCUCGCCUUCGCCGGGGCGGCACAGCUGCUCCUGUUCUUCCCCGGUGCGGUGGGUCCGGCGCUGCGCUCCAUCCUUUCGACCGGACAGCGCUGCGAUCGCGGCGGCGUCGGUGACGGCGGUGCGGAGGCGCAGCACACGCGAGGAGCGGAAGACGGUCGUUCUGAGGAGCCUAGAGACCUCGUCACGAAGCAGAGCGGCGCCGUGACGGUGCAGACUGUCGCGCAGUCGAUUCGCCACGCGCUGCUGCGCGCUCACGUGGCGCUGCUGCAAGCGCCGCCGGUGGAGGGACGGUGGAUCGGCGUAGUAGCGAGUCUGCAGCGAGAGACGCUGCUGCUCAUCGGGGCAAUGUACGGCAUGGUAUCGUCGCCGCUAGUCAUCACGACGACGUCGCUCCGCCAACUUCUUGAGGAGGUGAAAGAAGAGACCUCGACCGCGUCGCCGGUGUACAGCCACUACCCGAGCCGCACGCUGCUGUGGGAGGUGCUGCGGCACGCCGCGCACCACGCCUUGGCCCUGCAAGAGGGUUUCCUUGCACCUGUGAAGCGUGCUGUAAACGACGCUGGCGCUGGCGCUGCUGCAAGCGACGCGCUUCAUUGUCUGCACUCGGCCCUGACAGCCGUUGGCGACCACUACGGCGCCUCAGCAUCAGCCACGGCUAACGAAAUCGUUUUCUUCGCAUCCGUGGUUCGCUACUGCGCGGGGUGCCAGCUUUACGCGGACGGCUACGUUGCCGCCGCCUACGAUGUGUGGUCGAGGCUGGCAGGGGCACUGAAUCCCAGCGCCUGCACCGGUGACAUGGACGGGGGGCAAGACCGGCGGCAUCGCGCGGACGAAAAGCCCGCCGACGCCGACGCGUCGGUGAACCUCUCCGGCUUUCUGAAGGAGACGGGCGCGGCACACUUUUGGCCCCCGGACCAUCUGCUCCUGUACGCCCUGGUGCAGCGCCGGCGUGCGCAGGCGGCAGUUUUCCUUGACUACAUCGCGGUGCCUCACCGGCUGCAGAAGGAGCUGCUCGCCGUCUCCUCUCGGUACGCCUUUUCCUUUGGCGUUCUCACCGCGCAGCUUAUGCAGGCACAGGUGCACCAACAGCAUGGCCGCUUCAGCGCCUCGCUGAACGUGGCGCGCGAUGUGGAGAGAGCGGCGACACGCAUCGGAUACCCGAGUCUAUGUGAAGCGGCGCGUGCACUCCAAGUGACGGCCUACAGCAACAGCGGCUGCUGGAGAGAGGCGCAGCGCACACUGGCGCGUUGCCACCCCACCACCGCAGCCCAGCGCAGCGUUCUCCUGCUGCAACAGUACACGGCGCAUCUGGAGCCGCUGCUGCUCCGAAAGCCAGUGUCAACAGGAAAGGUGGAAUGCCUAACACGCAGUUGGGUUGCUCUGCUCAUGCGGGAGGGUCUCGUGACGGCGCAGACCGUGCACGACGAUGGCGACUUGCGCGUCUGCGCCACCGCUUUCGGGAUAUCUGCUGUCGAUGAGUUGUGCCUGUACAGCUCCCUGCAGCGAGCGUGUGCGCUGCUUGGGCAUCGCACCAGCGCCAUCGCAAAACGAACGGCCACCUGCCUGGAGACGCUCAUCGCACGACAGCAGCGCCCCACGCCUGACGUGUGCAUUUACGGGAGCUGCGAGGAGAUCUGCCGAAGCGGCCUUUGCGGUGGCCGGCCAUGCGAUGUGCGGAAAGACCUGUAGCAGAGGUAGACGGUGGCGUCGCCUUCGCUCAGCGAUCCCGCCUUUCCCUCCGCUGUGGCGCGCGUGCCGGCGAAUAUGUGCGUGCUGUCGAAGGCGGCGUUGAUUCCAGUGUCAUAGCGCUUCGCUGUUGCAUACAUGCACACCUCCGUUGGCGCAGGUAUCUCAGG